rnacentral:rRNA from 1 species
CCUACGGGAGGCAGCAGUGAGGAAUAUUGCACAAUGGGGGCAACCCUGAUGCAGCAAUGCCGCGUGUAUGAAGAAGGCCUGAGGGUUGUAAAGUACUUUCAAUUGGGAGGAAAAGUUUAAGGCUAAUACCCUUGAACCGUGACGUUACCAUUAGAAGAAGCACCGGCUAACUCCGUGCCAGCAGCCGCGGUAAU